rnacentral:rRNA from 1 species
UACGGGGGGGGCAAGCGUUGUUCGGAAUUACUGGGCGUAAAGGGCCAGUAGGCGGCCAACUAAGUCACACGUGAAAUCCCCAGGCUUAACCUGGGAACUGCAUUUGUGACUGCACGGCUAGAGUGUGUCAGAGGGGGGUAGAAUUCCACGUGUAGCAGUGAAAUGCGUAGAUAUGUGGAGGAAUACCGAUGGCGAAGGCAGCCCCCUGGGAUAACACUGACGCUCAUGCACGAAAGCGUGGGGAGCAAACAGG